rnacentral:misc_RNA from 1 species
GGGAAAGGAGGAGGAAAAGAAAAGGGUACUUUCUGAACACAGCAGCCAGAAAAAAAAAAAUGGCAAGCAUGAAGCCUUGAACUCUUGCAGAUUUGAGAUUCUGAAAGGGAACGAAGGAGGAAAAGAAAGCAUAGAAGGGAGAUCUGAGAUUCUGAAAGGGAAAGGAGGAGGAAAAGAAAGCAUAGAAGAGAGAGGGAAAUGAAAAC